rnacentral:rRNA from 1 species
ACAUGCAAGUCGAACGAGAAAGUGGAGCAAUCCAUGAGUACAGUGGCGACCGGGUGAGUAACACGUGACUAACCUACCUUCGAGUGGGGGAUAACCUCGGGAAACCGAGGCUAAUACCGCAUAACAUCGUGAGAUCAAAGCAGCAAUGCGCUGGAGGAGGGGGUCGCGGCUGAUUAGCUAGUUGGCGGGGUAACGGCCCACCAAGGCGAAGAUCGGUAGCCGGCCUGAGAGGGCGCACGGCCACACUGGAACUGAAACACGGUCCAGACUCCUACGGGAGGCAGCAGUGGGGAAUUUUGCGCAAUGGGGGAAACCCUGACGCAGCAACGCCGCGUGGAGGAUGAAGCCCCUUGGGGCGUAAACUCCUUUCGACCAAGACGAUAAUGACGGUACUGGUGGAAGAAGCACCGGCUAACUCUGUGC